CCUACGGGAGGCAGCAGUGAGGAAUAUUGGUCAAUGGACGAGAGUCUGAACCAGCCAAGUAGCGUGAAGGAUGACUGCCCUAUGGGUUUAAACCUCUUUUAUAAAGGAAUAAAACGAGGCACGUGUGUCUUUUUGCAUGUACUUUAUGAAUAAGGAUCGGCUAACUCCGUGCCAGCAGCCGCGGUAAUACGGAGGCUCCGAGCGUUAUCCGGAUUUAUUGGGUUUAAAGGGAGCGUAGUUGGGAUGUUAAGUCAGUGGUGAAAGUUUGCGGCUCAACCGUGAAAUUGCAAUUGAUACUGGCAGUCUUGAGUACAGGUGAGGUAGGCGGAAUGCGUGGUGUAGCGGUGAAAUGCAUAGAUAUCACGAAGAACCCCGAUUGCGAAGGCAGCUUACUA
rnacentral:rRNA from 1 species